rnacentral:rRNA from 1 species
UACGGAGGGUGCAAGCGUUAUCCGGAAUCACUGGGUUUAAAGGGUGCGUAGGCGGCGCAAUAAGUCAGAGGUGAAAGCCUCCCGCUCAACGGGAGAACUGCCUUUGAUACUGUUGUGCUUGAAUCAGGUUGAGGACAGCUGAAUGUGGCAUGUAGCGGUGAAAUGCAUAGAUAUGCCAUAGAACACCAAUUGCGAAGGCAGCUGUCUGGGCCUGUAUUGACGCUGAGGCACGAAAGCGUGGGGAGCGAACAGG